UACGUAGGGUGCAAGCGUUAAUCGGAAUUACUGGGCGUAAAGCGUGCGCAGGCUGUUUUGUAAGUCAGAUGUGAAAUCCCCGAGCUCAACUUGGGAACUGCGUUUGAAACUACAAGACUAGAAUAGGUCAGAGGGGGGUAGAAUUCCACGUGUAGCAGUGAAAUGCGUAGAGAUGUGGAGGAAUACCAAUGGCGAAGGCAGCCCCCUGGGAUCAUAUUGACGCUCAUGCACGAAAGCGUGGGGAGCGAACAGG
rnacentral:rRNA from 1 species